rnacentral:lncRNA from 1 species
AUGCAUAGGGGGAUGAUGAGGUCGAAGGUCAUUUCCAACUCUAAGGGCUGGGGAGCAGGUAAGGAACCCGCGGCCGCCGUGUCGGAAGCAGCAGAGCAGAGGUCUGAGCCCAGGUCCACGGUCGUUACCCCGUUGCCACCUCCCCAGCUGAUGGGUCUCGGAAACGCCUGGACUCGAGGGGCCGGGACUGCGUGGGGCCGUCGUGAAGGACUUCUUACUGUCCCAGGGGCCCAACGUGGCACAUCCGUUCCAGAAGGGUUUCCGGGGGCGAGGCGCAUCUGGCCUGCACUUGCACAGCCUGAGAGUAAGAACAGUUGGCACACUUGUGAAGGGUUGGCAGAAACACAAAAAUGUGUAACAGAGGCCGAAUGUGGCCGCCAGAGCCCCACGUAGUAGGCCCGUGUCUGCAGGACACGCCUGCUGGGCCUGGGACGAGCGGGGGAUCCCCGCAUCCGAGGUCCCUGACCCCCCGAGCCAUCCUGCGCCCCAGGUCACGCAGCUGAGCUGGGAAGCACCCGCAGGCUGACUCUCCGGCCCGGGGCUGUGGGAGACCACCCUGGGGCCCGGGAAGGAGGUGUUGGCGCUGCUGUGGGAGGUGGGGCGGUGGAGAGGCUCCCGCUGUGAGUGUCAGCGGGGAGCAGUCAGGGGACCCCACUGUCGCGCCCACCAGCACACCCAGAGCAGGAGCCCCGGGGCUGCUAGAGCCCGUGGCCCAGCCUGGCCUCAGGGCCCGGGUGGCUAUUCCUGCGUCCCCUUCUUGGGAGACCUCCGUUGGCGUCCAGAGACACGGGACAGCCCAGCUUGGCUCAGACAAGCCUGAGUGUCUCUGGGGCUCCCCAGGCAGGGGGAGGGCGCGAUGCCGUCGGAUGGGCAGGGACAGUGCCUGCCCCCACCCGGCCUGGGGCUCCCGGCCUGCCUCACUCCUGCACAUUUGCCAACGGAACCGGUCACCUAGGCCACCGCCCUGCACACUGGAUGUGCCUGUGCCCCAUGGCCCCGCCAGCCCCGCCGCUCUGGCUUCAGAGUCUGGGCAGGGGCAUCCUAGUGGCCGAGGGAGGCCUGGAGGCAGCCUGGCAGGCCUGGAGGGCAGUGAGGCGGGGGCCCCGAGACUCACAGCUGGGUUCAGAUGCUGGGUGGUCAGAGGCCAGACAGAAGGACAGCUGUCCGCCCCAGACACACCGGCAGUGACCUAGAGGGACAGAGAGUGCCCGUCACAGGGCAGCUUUGCCUCAGCCGGCCCGAGUCCCCUCCUCCACGAGGACCUGCGACCUCGACAGCAGGACCAAUAGUAUGACUGCUGAGCGCUAAGCUCAGUGCUGUCCCCGACCACCCACAGCCGUUCCCGGGGCCCGCCACCACCCUCUGGCUCACCGGAUGCAGGGCCGGCGUCCAG